UACGGAGGGUGCAAGCGUUAUCCGGAUUCACUGGGUUUAAAGGGUGCGUAGGUGGGCAGGUAAGUCAGUGGUGAAAUCUCCGGGCUUAACCCGGAAACUGCCAUUGAUACUAUCUGUCUUGAAUACCCUGGAGGUGAGCGGAAUAUGUCAUGUAGCGGUGAAAUGCUUAGAUAUGACAUAGAACACCCAUUGCGAAGGCAGCUCACUACGGGAAUAUUGACACUGAGGCACGAAAGCGUGGG
rnacentral:rRNA from 1 species